rnacentral:rRNA from 1 species
UGGGGGAAUAUUGGGCAAUGGGGGCAACCCUGACCCAGCGACGCCGCGUGAAGGAAGAAGGCUUUCGGGUUGUAAACUUCUUUUACCAGGGACGAAGGACGUGACGGUACCUGGAGAAAAAGCCACGGCUAACUACGUGCCAGCAGCCGCGGUAAUACGUAGGUGGCAAGCGUUGUCCGGAUUUACUGGGUGUAAAGGGCGUGUAGGCGGAGCAGCAAGUCAGAAGUGAAAUCUCCGGGCUUAACCCGGAAACUGCUUUUGAAACUGUUGCCCUUGAGUAUCGGAGAGGCAGGCGGAAUUCCUAGUGUAGCGGUGAAAUGCGUAGAUAUUAGGAGGAACACCAGUGGCGAAGGCGGCCUGCUGGACGACAACUGACGCUGAGGCGCGAAAGCGUGGGGAGCA